rnacentral:rRNA from 1 species
GGGCGGAGAAGGACGAAGUCGUUGCCCACACCGCGGAUCUACCGCGGGGAUGCGGCAAGGAAGGACGCGGUUGCGCGGCCCCCGGAUCCGGCGAAGGACGUGCGCAAGAGGGGGCCAACAGGGCGCGGGGCACAACUCCAGAUCCGGGCGGCCCGAGCGGAGCGUGAAGCUAGGAAGCGGGCAUAUGCUUAUGGUGGCCACCUUCGUUGCAGCUGGCGGCAACGGCAUGAUUGUAGUUUGGCGGCUAGGUUUGGGUGCCCCGGUGUCACCCCUGCAAGUGACACGGAAGUGAGCGACCAGGAACCAGAAGAUGCCAACAGCCUGUUUGCUCAAAUAGGGAAUCGAGGACAGCAAGGACCAUUGAAGUCCGAGAUGUUUGGAAUUGGACAAUUCAAUCUCUACUUUUCUCCUCCAAUGAUUCAGGUGACCGAUGCUCUUAGGGACCAUGAGUAUGUCCUAACCUAUGAAGACAAGGAUGCUGACUGGAUGCAUGUUGGCGAUCUUCCUUCGGAUAUUUUUGCACACUCUGGUAUUCAACAAGUUGUGUCUCAAGCUUGUAAGUUCUGUCACAAGGAUGAGAUUGCUAGAGUGCUACAAAACUUUUACGUGAUAGCAGUUGUACCAGUCAACUAG